rnacentral:rRNA from 1 species
AACGAACGCUGGCAGCAUGCCUAACACAUGCAAGUCGAACGAGACCUUCGGGUCUAGUGGCGCACGGGUGCGUAACGCGUGGGAACCUGCCCUUAGGUUCGGAAUAACUCCCCGAAAGGGGUGCUAAUACCGGAUAAUGUCUUCGGACCAAAGAUUUAUCGCCUUUGGAUGGGCCCGCGUUGGAUUAGCUAGUUGGUAGGGUAAAAGCCUACCAAGGCGACGAUCCAUAGCUGGUCUGAGAGGAUGAUCAGCCACACUGGGACUGAGACACGGCCCAGACUCCUACGGGAGGCAGCAGUGGGGAAUAUUGGACAAUGGGCGGAAGCCUGAUCCAGCAAUGCCGCGUGAGUGAUGAAGGCCUUAGGGUUGUAAAGCUCUUUUACCCGGGAUGAUAAUGACAGUACCGGGAGAAUAAGCCCCGGCUAACUCCGUG